rnacentral:lncRNA from 1 species
AUGACGCAGACAAAGGGAAAGAGGAGAGGCACCUGAUACAUAUUCUCAAAUCCGUUUAGAAAGCAUGGAGUUGUUUCUUUGGCCACAUACAUGUGAAUCUACAAGAAAGGCGCUAUUCUAGACAUCAAGGGAAUGGGCACUGUUCAAAAAGGAAUGCCCCAUAAAUGUCACCAUGGCUAAACUGGAAGAGUCUACAGUGUCACCAGGCAUGCUGUUGGCAUAUUGCAAACAAACAAGUUAAGGGCAAGAUUGUCGCCAAGAGAACAAAUGUGCAUAUUGAGCAUAUUAAGCGCUCUGAGAGCCAAGGUAGCUUCCUGAAAUGCAUGAAGGAAAGGAUCAGAAAAAGAAUGAAACCAAAGAGAAAGUCACCUAGGUUCAACUGAAGUGCCAGCCUGCUCCACCCAGAGAGGCACACUUUGUGACAAUCAGUGAAAAGGAGCCUGAGCUGCUGGAACCUCUUCCUUAUGAUUCAUG